GGGUUGUGAGGUUAAGCGACUAAGCGUACACGGUGGAUGCCCUGGCAGUCAGAGGCGAUGAAGGACGUGCUAAUCUGCGAUAAGCGUCGGUAAGGUGAUAUGAACCGUUAUAACCGGCGAUUUCCGAAUGGGGAAACCCAGUGUGUUUCGACACACUAUCAUUAACUGAAUCCAUAGGUUAAUGAGGCGAACCGGGGGAACUGAAACAUCUAAGUACCCCGAGGAAAAGAAAUCAACCGAGAUUCCCCCAGUAGCGGCGAGCGAACGGGGAGCAGCCCAGAGCCUGAAUCAGUGUGUGUGUUAGUGGAAGCGUCUGGAAAGGCGCGCGAUACAGGGUGACAGCCCCGUACACAAAAAUGCACAUACUGUGAGCUCGAUGAGUAGGGCGGGACACGUGGUAUCCUGUCUGAAUAUGGGGGGACCAUCCUCCAAGGCUAAAUACUCCUGACUGACCGAUAGUGAACCAGUACCGUGAGGGAAAGGCGAAAAGAACCCCGGCGAGGGGAGUGAAAAAGAACCUGAAACCGUGUACGUACAAGCAGUGGGAGCACGCUUCGGCGUGUGACUGCGUACCUUUUGUAUAAUGGGUCAGCGACUUAUAUUCUGUAGCAAGGUUAACCGAAUAGGGGAGCCGAAGGGAAACCGAGUCUUAACUGGGCGUUAAGUUGCAGGGUAUAGACCCGAAACCCGGUGAUCUAGCCAUGGGCAGGUUGAAGGUUGGGUAACACUAACUGGAGGACCGAACCGACUAAUGUUGAAAAAUUAGCGGAUGACUUGUGGCUGGGGGUGAAAGGCCAAUCAAACCGGGAGAUAGCUGGUUCUCCCCGAAAGCUAUUUAGGUAGCGCCUCGUGAACUCAUCUUCGGGGGUAGAGCACUGUUUCGGCAAGGGGGUCAUCCCGACUUACCAACCCGAUGCAAACUGCGAAUACCGGAGAAUGUUAUCACGGGAGACACACGGCGGGUGCUAACGUCCGUCGUGAAGAGGGAAACAACCCAGACCGCCAGCUAAGGUCCCAAAGUCAUGGUUAAGUGGGAAACGAUGUGGGAAGGCCCAGACAGCCAGGAUGUUGGCUUAGAAGCAGCCAUCAUU
rnacentral:rRNA from 1 species